CUUUCAUUCGAUUGUUUUGGACUAUGAUUAUCAUUUUCAGUGACCCACAGUCCCAAGAAUCAACCGCGUGGCGACCUUCAUAAACAGUUACACAACGAGAGGGAGGAUCUGUGUGUUUGAGUUAGGGUUCCACCCUGCCGUCCUCCAUCCUCGGCCUGCAAAAUCUCCGAGCACAACGACGGCAACGGCGCUCGCUCGCUCGCCCCCACCUUACACUAUCCUCACCGCCAAGACCCCGCAACGACGACUGGUAGACAGCAGCUCGAGAUCGAGGUCAGCACGGAGAACCCCCACCGACGCAUCACGGCCGAUUGUGGCGGCUGGGGCGACACCAAGCAGGAGGAGGUGGCUAGAGAGAUCGUUAGCUCUUCCUCGGCCACAACAGCAUAGCUCACCACGCCACCGUUAUCCCUUGCUGGAAAUAGCCGGCGGAUACGCUCCUGGCGAGGAGCUCCGGCGCUCAUAUCUCACCACAUGAAUCCUUCCCCUCCUCGAGCCCCACCAGGUUCCAGCAGGCACGAGAGGGUAGGCGGCGGCCGGUGGACUUGAGCGAAGGUAGCGGCAGCGUGGACUCUGACGGGGCCAGCUGGGGACGGGUGGAGCCGUGGCCGUGUGAAUCGAUCAGUGGGAACUGUUGAGCGGCAAGAACAUGGCAAGAAUCCUCCAACAUUAGCUACCAUCUAUGAAUUGGACAUGUCUGAUGAUGUUCUGCAUAUGCUAAGGCAAUUUUUUGAGGACCAUCGCAGUCACGGCGACAUUCUGUGCCCUGCCCUCUAGAGGGAUAGCUUCAUGAUGCACUUCUAGCAGAUUUUGUACAGCUGGCGUGCCUCAUCACUGCCAAUUAAGGUCGAGCCCAAGCUGAUUAGUUCAGGGAAGUGGGAUGUUGAUGUCAAGGACAUAUUGGAUGAGGGGACUGUUGGGAAGAGUGACAACGGAUUGAGGAUGAAUUUCAGGUGGUGAUGCAUAUGUCGAAUCUAUUUUACUACUUCAGAGAGCGCAGGAAUCUCUUGAGAAUGUAUUUAAUUAUCACCCUAUUUUGAGGAGGAGGCUAGCGACGACAGCGGCAUCCAGAGCCUGACGCUCGGCACGCUCGACAUAUUUUCUUGGUCGGUGGCGCUGGGAUAGAGGUGGUCAAGAACUUCUGCCACAACAUGCACGGGUAGGGCAUUUUAGUGAAGAUCUCCGGCGGCCGCAUUGGCAUUAAGACCAGCUCCUACUCGAUGCUAAAGAAGGCCCUGCUGAUGCGCAGCGAGACCAACAUGCUGUUCAUGAGCCCUGGAGACAUGGGCGCUCCCAUUCCAACGCCGCCCACCAUGUCGACAUCAACACCGGGAAGGUUGUCACUGAGUGGCGAUUCUAUAAGGAUGGAUCUGACAUCACGAUGCGAGACAUUGCCAACGAUAGUAAGAGUGUGCAGCUUGAACCUUUCGGGACAAUCUUUUUGGGACUGGAAGACAACUGGCUAUGUAGGUGUGAUGUGUGAGGUGUAGCCUGUAGGCAGUGGUAGCUCCUAUGGGUCACCAGUGCUGCAUUAUCUG